GCAGCCACCCUCAGAGGGCCUGUCCUGGGCUGGGCAGGUGGUCUGCCCUCCUUGGGAAAAAGGGAAAUGAAAACUCAGAGGGAAGUGCCCUCCCCAGGCGGGCAUGGCAAGCGGAGGGCAGAAAGUCACCUUGGGGGCAGCAGGCACUGGGCUGGUCUUGGUUCUAGAAGCUCAAGGGCUCCUGGGAGGAGCACUGGGCCCCCUGCCCGCUUGCUGCCAGAACCCGAGACACGAGUAGAAACACAUCAGGGCGUCUUGGAGCAGCACCCCGGUCCCCCGUCUUUACUGCUCGUGGCUUCCCGGUCCAGCUUAGGGACGGGCUCCUCCAGAGCAGCCAACCAAGGCCUAGGGGGCUGGGCUACCCCCAGCUCUGCCCCGCAGUUCACAUGGGGUGAGACCCUGGCAGAGCUGACAGGGGCGUGACAGCAUCAUGGCCCAGGUGCCUCAGGGGCCCUGUUUGCUCUUAGGGGACACGGCUGUCCCUCUGUAAGGAAAACCUCCUUCUGAGCUGUCCCCGAGCUCAGGAGGUGGCGGGGCCAUGGCCAGGGCCCACGGGCCAGGCACCACUGGAGAUGCCCCAGAGAAGGACCGCAGGGAGCCAGCAGGGAGGUGCUGCAGCCGAGCCACUGCCAGCCGGGAGCCUUGGGCACAGCGCCUGCAUCUCCACCAGUGCUGGGUCUGGCCAGCAGGCACCACAGCCCUGGGGGUGAGCAGGGGCAGGACCCCCGUGCAGGGCGGCACCAGGGCCAAUGAUGUCCCAGCUGUCACACACGAUCACUCGACCUCACGCCCACUCGUGUUUCCAGCGCCCAGAGGAGGAAGCUGACCCAGGGCUCAGCUGCAGAAAGCAGAAGAGGGCCUGGGGCUCUGCCCCCAAACCUCACCCCGUCCGGUGGCCCCCGAUUCCUACUUCCUCUGAGUGUGAUGCUCACUCUCCAUGGCCUUUUCUGAGCAGGUCAGGGACAGGACAGGGUGGUGGGCUGCUCUGUGACUGUGCUUGCACGCCUGUGCACACACGGGCGCAGACCUGGGCACAGGUGGGCACAGAAUCCCGCGUUCCGACUUAGUCCUACUUGGUCACUGUGACGGGCUUGAAAGCAAAUGUUUUGUCCUGGUGCCACACGGAGGAGGAAGCUGAGGUUUGAGUGCUUCAGUGACUCAGACGAAACCCAGCAAAUCAGCUGGUGUUGGCUGGUGUGACUCGCGGUCAGGUGCCCGGGAGCCCAGGGACUGUGCUCUUGACCCUGGGGGCUGGGGGGACAGCUCCUGCCAGGAGGAGGGCGUCUCGUGUUGGUCUGCGUGACUGCGGUGGGGCAGGGGCCACGGGGGCCGAGAUGAGCAGGGGGAGAGUGACCACGGGGAGAGGAGACCACAGGGAGAGGUGGCCAUGGGGGCAAGUGACCACAGAGGGAGAGGUGAACUGGGGGAGAGGUGACUUCUGGAAAGAGUGGUCACAGGGGGAGAGUGACCACGAGAAGGGGUGACCUCAGGGGGAGAGGUGACCUCAGCGGGGAAGUGACCACAGAGGGAGAAGAGGCCACAGGGGGAGAAUGACCAGGGGAAGACAUGGCCUCAAGGAGAGGUGACCACAGGCAGAGGUGACCUCAAAGGGCGAGGUGACCUGAGAGGGAGAAGCAACCAUGGAGAGAGGUGACCACAGGGGUAAAAGUCGCCACAGGAGAAGUGACCAGAGGGAAAGGUGACCACGGGGAGAGGUGACCAUGGGGAGAGAGGUGACCUUGGGGGAGAGGCCCCUGUCCCUGAGAAGGACACCAGGGGAGCAGCACCCGCCCUGCCGAGCAGGAGAGCAGGCUGCCACUGGAAAAGGGCACGGGGGGGGGGCUGUGCUCAGGAGCCCCGUUUCCUCUGGACCUGGAGGCUGGCCUGGGGGCCCCUGCUGCUGUGCCAGGGGUGCCCCCUCGGCAGAGCACCUGCUCCGCCCCCAACACCGUGCCCAUCAUCAGGACACUGUGGUUCUGGGGCUCCGGGGGCUCUGGACAGCUCCAGCUGCUGACGGCCCCCGUGCCGGCUGCUGGCCAGGCGGGGCCUGCUGAGAGCAGGUGUCCCCAUGACACGGGAGGGCGCCGUGUGCACCACGCUGCCCGCCUGUGCAAGUGUGCGAGGGUGCGCCUGUGUGUGUGGUGCAUGUGGGCAUGGGUCCCUGUGUCCGCAACCUCUGUUGUCACGGGGAACACACUGCAAGGUUGCAACAAUGCAAAGCGUCCUGGAGGGGCUGGGGGUGGAGCUGCGGGUCUGUGUCACGCGUGACUCGAGGAAGCCUGGAGGAGGUGAUGCUGAGGCCCGACCACCUCAGCUCCGGAACACGCCACGUGGGUUCUCCUUCCUGUGGAGUCCUGUGCAGCCAGGCAGAGGGAAAUGGACCUUUACUGUAAACUGGGCUCCCCGGAGCCUUAGUUUAUUGUCAAAUAUUAUCACAAAGACCUGCCUCAAAGAAGGUCCUUGUGGUGGUGGGGGGGGAUGCUCGGCUGAUGCUGCAGGUGUGGGCAGAGCCUGCUCGGCCAGCCGGGGGCUCCUGCGGAUGGCCCAGCGGGCGGGAUUUCAGGCGGUGUGUGUGGGGGGGUGUCUCCCUGUCCCUUGGGCCGGCCUUGGCCUCAGGGCAGAGCUGAGUCCCAGGCUUCCUGGGCGUGAAUUGGCUUUCUGCACACACUCCUCGAAGUUAUUGCAUAAAUGAGGGUCCCUUUCAGGUGGCACUUCAUCCUUGACGUUGACACGGAGAAACUAAGACGACCUUUUCUUUGCUUAUUUUGGGAAAAACCUCAGAGCCAAAGGCAGAGACCCCAGCACACAUGACGCUGAAUUCCUUCAGACAAGGCCCUGCUGGGAGGUAGAACUCUCUUGGUCCAGAAUCUCACUUCAAAUGAAUGGCUGCACUCAUGGCACGUGGAAGUCCUCAGGCUAG